rnacentral:misc_RNA from 1 species
AAGUCGUAACAAGGUUUCCGUAGGUGAACCUGCGGAAGGAUCAUUAACACGUAUCCACGUUAAACCAACCGUGCACUUUCAAUUAUGCGUUGUUUUUGAGCUCGAGGUCAGUUCGCUUUCCAAGAGUUCGAAGACGAUUCGUUUCGGCUCGGCACGUGUCGUGAAGUUGGUGCUUGCACCGGCGAUGGAUGCCACCUCUGACGAGAGUGAAACUGGAAGGGUACGUAACUCGACAGUUUCGAUUUAUUUCAAGGACGAUCCGUUCUGGGCCGGAUCGAAAUUUGUGGUAAUGAGAGGGUUCUGGAACUCUACGGGGUAACUGUCUGAGUUGCACAUCUUUCAAACCCCUUAAAAAAAUUGACAUCCGAGACCUCAGGGUAAAACCGAGGCGAACAACUGUUAACAAUGGAUAUCUUGGUUCUC